GUUAUUCGGUUCUCCAGCCAUUGACUUAAGUUUAGUUUAAUAUUAAUUUAUAUCUAUUAGCGGGAGUUUAGUCAAUAAUAGAACAUUAAGUAAUGUAUAAUUUAUUUAUAUUAUGUAAAAUGUAUAAAUAAAAUACUUUAUUAUAGUGUUAAUAAUGAAAACUUGUAGUUACUGAAAGAUAAGAGAGAGAAUCGGACAAGGUGUAGCGUGUCAACAUCAACCAAGUGUACGGCUCCAAUUGGUUGUUGCUGUAGUGUUAAGACAACUACCAUAUUGCUGCCUCGCUGAUCGUGGUUAAUGAAGUUCCUCAUGUCAUUCGUCGAGGACGGUGACGUGGAGAUGUAAGAUAUGGGCCACAAGACGAAGGUUUGUUUUGGUUAACGGGUCUCUUGCUGCACCACAUUGGAAACUUUCUGUUAUAACAUAAGGUACAGUACAGUGUAUAUCUUUGUGGUUUUAGUUUUUAUUAAGGAUCUGGGAUCACCGUUUAAAAAUUCAAGUAAUUGUGUUAAUGACCUUUGAAAUAAUUAGAUAUUUUAAGUAGAUUACGCUGUGCCCGUAAGUUUUAAAAAGCCUUUAUGGAUGGUCUUAAAUAUGUUGACCAUCUUUACUGUAUGAAGUUAGUUUCACGUCAAAAUAUUUGUCAAAUAUGCCUGACCUAAUACCUUUGUCUUUAGCACUUGUGGUAAAAAAAUAGUUUAAAUAUCCUACAAAGGUACAGGGUACUACUUUACCUGAUUUUAAAUCUAGUUUCACAAAUUAGUUUUUGUGUUAAUGACUUUUUGAAACAAUUAGAUAUCUAAAGUAGAUUACUUAGGAUUUGCCCGUAUUUUUUAAAAGGCCUUCAUAUACGUUUUAUAAAUAAUAUAGACUAUUGGGGUGUCGACUGCAUGGAAAAGCCAGGAAACUUUACAAACAAAUGGGGUAUUAUAUUUGGGUCAAAUUAUACAGUGACCCCUCGUUUAACGAACUGAAUCCGUUCCAGAAGGUCGUUCGUUAACCA
rnacentral:lncRNA from 1 species